UAAAAGUAUACAAGUGGAAGUGCCUGUGAU
rnacentral:piRNA from 1 species